rnacentral:rRNA from 1 species
AACGAACGCUGGCGGCAGGCCUAUCACAUGCAAGUCGAGCGCCCCGCAAGGGGAGCGGCGGACGGGUGAGUAACGCGUGGGAAUAUGCCCUUUGCUACGGAAUAGUCUCGGGAAACUGGGGGUAAUACCGUAUACGCCCUUUGGGGGAAAGAUUUAUCGGCGAAGGAUUAGCCCGCGUUGGAUUAGGUAGUUGGUGGGGUAAUGGCCUACCAAGCCGACGAUCCAUAGCUGGUUUGAGAGGAUGAUCAGCCACACUGGGACUGAGACACGGCCCAGACUCCUACGGGAGGCAGCAGUGGGGAAUCUUAGACAAUGGGGGCAACCCUGAUCUAGCCAUGCCGCGUGAGUGAUGAAGGCCUUAGGGUUGUAAAGCUCUUUCAGCUGGGAAGAUAAUGACGGUACCAGCAGAAGAAGCCCCGGCUAACUCCGUG